AUUGAACGCUGGCGGCAGGCCUAACACAUGCAAGUCGAACGAGUGGCGGACGGGUGAGUAAUGUCUGGGAAACUGCCUGAUGGAGGGGGAUAACUACUGGAAACGGUAGCUAAUACCGCAUACCAUCAGAUGUGCCCAGAUGGGAUUAGCUAGUUGGUGGGGUAACGGCGCACCAAGGCGACGAUCCCUAGAUGGUCUGAGAGUAGGACCAUCUACAUUGUAAAUGAGAUACGGUCCAGACUCCUACGGGAGUCAGAAGGGGGGAAUAGUGCACAAUGGGCGCAAGCCUGAUGCAUCCAUGCCGCGUGUAUGAAGAAGGCCUUCGGGUUGUAAAGGACUUUCAGCGGGGAGGCUUUACCCGCAGAAGAAGCACCGGCUAACUCCGUGCCAGCAGCCGCGGUAAUAC
rnacentral:rRNA from 1 species